ACUUGGAUAGCUCAGUCAAUAGAGCAUGAGGCUCUUAAUCUCAGGGUCAUGGUUUGGAACCCCAUGUUGGGCA